GCUAGCUGUGGGAAUCAGAGGGAAUUUUAGUACAGCAAAUAGUUGAUGCUAGCAGAUGCUAGUAGAACAGGAGAACUGAAGCAGCAGUUGCCAACCGGGCACAGGUCACGCGACAUGUUGUUUUUGGUUAGCAGUAAAGUGAGACAUGUACAGAUUACAGCACCUCACAGUCCAAACAAUGCUGGCAAGGAACUCUAUCUGCUCCUUACGGCUUCAGAAACGUUGGCUUCAUAGAGUUGGCACGCCAACUCCUCGUCUGCAACCAGUUAGCAAGGUAGAUCCGAGGGUAUACGUUGAACCUCCAACAAGCACAGCUACUAUAUGCCAUUCUACUGUUCUGUAUUGGGGUUGUGGCAGAAAUCUCGGAUGAACAUCUAAGUAAACCACAGCUGUGUGUCAGUCAGUAAGGCCUCCAAACAGACUCAUCCAGACGACCUGAAGCACUCAUGGCAGUAGGGGAAUUGCUGUGGCUGCCGUCGGCCUCCACCCCCUCACUCUGGGCGUUCAAGCCUUGGUUCAUCAGACUGUUGGUCCCUCCGGUGCCACCUGCCCAGAGCAGGACAGCAGGCGGGUGGGGGAGCGUUCACCCCCGGUGUUUCCCGGUGCCACCAUGGAGAAUUGGUAGGACCCUGAGCCUGUGCCGUAAUACAGACCCCACCCGACCUGCACAGAAAGCUCAGCGGUAAGUGACUCCUGCUAACGACCUCUAAUGAUUUUAAUCAUCUGCAAUCAGGUGCAGGAGUCAUGAAUCUCUGGAUGAGAGACAGAAAGAGAGAGAGGGGGCUGUUUCUUUGAGGGGCAGCAGAAGAACAGAAGGCGUGUGGAAGCGUGACACAAUUACCUCCAGUACUCCACUGGAACAUGACUCCCAAGUCUAAAGCAGGGAGACGGGGAUUGGGAGCGCUAUCCUGGCUCUAGUAGGCUUGAUUUGUUGGCUGGCUGAUGCGAUAUCUGUAACAAGAGAAUCUUGAAUCCUCAUCAUGUAAUUUGAAAGUUGGUUUCCAGCUCAUCACUGUAACCCAGCUCAUAAGAUGAUUUCAGUGCUGUGUCUUGGUGAUUUUAACUUUAGGUUGUGGUUCAUUGACUAAGGGAGGUACAGAACGGAAAGAGAUGGAGUUCGCUCUCUCUGGUAAAUGAUGAUGUGGAAGCCCAGAGGAGUAACACAGUUGAUGUGAAAAACUAAAAAACAUCUUUGCCUCCCUUUGAUUGGUCAAAACUAUCAGAAACACUUUCACAAAAAAGAGGGAAAUGUAUUAAACU